rnacentral:rRNA from 1 species
GAUGAACGCUGGCGGCGUGCCUAAUACAUGCAAGUCGAGCGAACAGACGAGGAGCUUUCUCCUCUGACGUUAGCGGCGGACGGGUGAGUAACACGUGGAUAACCUACCUAUAAGACUGGGAUAACUUCGGGAAACCGGAUCUAAUACCGGAUAAUAUAUUGAACCGCAUGGUUCAAUAGUGAAAGACGGUUUUGCUGUCACUUAUAGAUGAAUCCGCGCCGCAUUAGCUAGUUGGUAAGGUAACGGCUUACCAAGGCAACGAUGCGUAGCCGACCUGAGAGGGUGAUCGGCCACACUGGAACUGAGACACGGUCCAGACUCCUACGGGAGGCAGCAGUAGGGAAUCUUACGCAAUGGGCGAAAGCCUGACGGAGCAACGCCGCGUGAGUGAUGAAGGUCUUCGGAUCGUAAAACUCUGUUAUUAGGGAAGAACAAAUGUGUAAGUAACUAUGCACGUCUUGACGGUACCUAAUCAGAAAGCCACGGCUAACUACGUG